AGCCGGGGAGGGCGGGGCCAGCAGGGGGAACUGCUGCUGGAAGAGCAGCUGCCCGAGCCGGGGCCAUGGCGAAGCUGCUGAGCUGUGUCCUAGGCCCCCGGCUCUAUAAAAUCUACCGGGAAAGGUACUCUGAAAGGGCCCCCUCCGGCGUCCCUGAGACUCCAACCUCAGUCACUAGCCCCCCUUCCAGCUCCUGGGAUACAUACUAUCAGCCCCGUGCUCUGGAAAAGCAUGCUGACAGCAUCCUGGCGCUGGCUUCAGUCUUCUGGUCCAUCUCUUAUUACUCCUCUCCCUUCGCCUUCUUCUACUUAUACAGGAAAGGUUACUUGAGUUUGUCCAAAGUGGUGCCAUUUUCUCACUAUGCGGGGACAUUGCUUCUACUCCUGGCAGGCGUGGCCUGCCUUCGAGGCAUCGGCCGCUGGACCAACCCUCAGUACCGGCAGUUUAUCACCAUCUUGGAGGCAGCACAUAGGAACCAAUCUGCAGAAAACAAGAUGCAGCUCGCCAACUACAACUUUGACUUUAGGAGCUGGCCAGUCGACUUCCACUGGGAGGAACCCAGCAGCCGGAAGGAGUCCCGGGGGGACCCUUCUCGCCAGGGCGUGGCCCUGCUCCGCCCAGAGCCCCUGCACCGAGGGACAGCAGACACCCUCCUCGACUGGGUCAAGAAGCUGCCUUGUCAGAUCACCAGCUACCUGGUGGCACACACCUUGGGGCGCCGGAUGCUGUAUCCUGGCUCCGUGUACCUGCUCCAGAAGGCCCUCAUGCCUGUGCUGCUGCAGGGCCAGGCCCGGCUGGUGGAAGAGUGUAACGGGCGCCGGGCAAAGCUGCUGGCCUGUGAUGGCAACGAGAUUGACACCAUGUUUAUGGACCGGCGGGGGACAGCUGAGCCCCAGGGACAGAAGCUGGUCAUCUGCUGUGAGGGGAAUGCGGGCUUCUAUGAGGUGGGCUGCAUUUCCACGCCUCUGGAAGCUGGAUAUUCAGUCCUGGGCUGGAAUCAUCCGGGCUUUGCUGGAAGCACGGGGGUGCCGUUUCCACAGAAUGAAGCCAAUGCCAUGGACGUGGUGAUCCAGUUUGCUAUCUACCGCCUGGGCUUCCAGCCCCAGGAUAUUAUCAUCUAUGCCUGGUCCAUUGGGGGCUUUACUGCCACAUGGGCAGCCAUGUCCUACCCAGACAUUAGUGCCGUGAUCCUGGAUGCCUCCUUUGAUGACUUGGUGCCCUUGGCCUUGAAGGUCAUGCCAGACAGCUGGAGGGGCCUGGUGACCAGAACAGUGAGGCAGCAUCUCAACCUAAACAAUGCAGAGCAGCUGUGCAGGUACCAGGGCCCUGUGCUGCUGAUCCGCAGAACCAAGGAUGAGAUCAUCACCACCACGGUUCCUGAGGAUAUCAUGUCCAACCGAGGCAAUGACCUCCUGCUGAAGCUCCUGCAGCAUCGGUAUCCCCAUGUGAUGGCAGAGGAGGGUCUUCGAGUGGUGAGGCAGUGGCUGGAGGCCUCCUCAGAGCUGGAGGAAGCCUCGAUUUACAGCCGAUGGGAGGUGGAGGAGAACUGGUGUCUGUCUGUCCUCAACUCCUACCAGGCAGAACAUGGGCCUGACUUCCCCUGGAGCGUGGGCUUCUGCGCUGCUCCCAGUGUGAGGUGUUGGACCCGGUUCUGGCUGUGUUUGGGUUAAGGGCUUGCUCCACGCCCCAGGGAGGAGCAUGUGUUUCCCGCUCAGCUGUCACAAGCUCCUCAUGGGGCGCGAAGUGUGUGCUUUUUCCUCUCGUGUUUCUUCCCGGUGCGUGCUUCCUGGCGCGUCUCCGUCCGUUUCCUCUCCUCUACGCUAUCAGUACCCCGAGGCCGGAUGACUCCUGGCUGCUCUUGGACCGUUUUAGGGCGUGUCCCAAAACUCCAGACCGGACGCCCUAAGACUUCCCAUAGCCCACUGACCCCUAAAGUCAAGCCCCUGAGUCUCAGAGGAUGACCUACAGGCGGGAGACCAGCAGGCCCGCGGGCGGAGGAAGUGGGCGGGCACCUGGCCUGGGAGGGAUGUGGCACCACAGUGCCGCCGCGCGGAGAAGCUGCGUAGUGCCCUGGGUGUCCGCGGGAGCUUGACCCCUGAGUCCCGACGCGGGGCCCGCGGACCUGAGGUGCAAUUAAGCGCGGAGAGCCGGUGGGCGCCGGAGAUCAGAGCUGCUGACCUGCAGCUGAGCUUAGGCGUAGGCUAAGACAGGCUUUCCGGAACCCACAGGGACACAGAACUGAGUACGUACGGUCAACGGCACCCAAACGUUCUCGCUUUUAGAUUUCUGACAGUGCCAGGUCUUUCUCAUCUUGGAAAAUGGUACCACCAAUCACGCCCUGUGCAAACCUGUCCCCACUUCCCUCACCCAUGUUCAAUCUAAGUCCAAACUGUCCAGUCUUGUUUCUAAAUCUCUCAAAAAAUUCAGUGUUUCCCUGCCUCUCUUCUGCUAGACUAGGCCGCCAUCUUGUGACUGGACUCAGGAAUAGCGUCUUGACUGGUUUCCUGGCCUCAAUAAUCUUUUACAAACAAAUCUUAAUCCUGUUACUCCUCGGCGGAGAUCCCCUUGGUCAUGUUUCUGACCCCUCCCUCCCUCUAUCAUUGCUUGUUGACUUCUUUGCCACUAGACUGUGUGUUCUGUGAGUGCAGCGCCUUGGGCAACAUU